CAAGAAACCUGAAAAACAUUUGUUUCAUUCAGUACUUGUGCUUUGAGCAGCGCUGGAAAAUAACCUCUUAUGGAGUUUUCAGAACUUCCCCUGACUGGGAGCUGCUGGAGGGCAAAGACUAGGUCCACAGUCAGACACCUCAUCUUUUAGCCUGACAGAAAAUCAAGCUUCCAGUGGGCAAAUAGGGUUCUUCUGCCAAGGGGUUAGCAAGCAGUUACUGAGAAAGACAUGGACAGCAGGCAUCGCCAGGAGGGUAUUUCUCAGCACGGGGGAAUGACAAUCAAGAAAAAUGUCCUG
rnacentral:lncRNA from 1 species